CACGUAGGGUGCGAGCGUUGUCCGGAAUUAUUGGGCGUAAAGAGCUCGUAGGCGGUGUGUCGCGUCGGCCGUGAAAACCUGCAGCUUAACUGUGGGCUUGCGGUCGAUACGGGCAUCACUGGAGUUCGGCAGGGGAGACUGGAAUUCCUGGUGUAGCGGUGAAAUGCGCAGAUAUCAGGAGGAACACCGGUGGCGAAAGCGGGUCUCUGGGCCGAUACUGACGCUGAGGAGCGAAAGCGUGGGGAGCGAACAGG
rnacentral:rRNA from 1 species